GACGUAGGGGGCCAGCGUUGUUCGGAAUUACUGGGUGUAAAGGGUUCGUAGGCGGUGUGGCAAGUCGGGAGUGAAAUCUCUGGGCUCAACUCAGAGACUGCUUCAGAAACUGCUGUGCUGGAGUGUGGGAGAGGCGCGUGGAAUUGCAGGUGUAGCGGUGAAAUGCGUAGAUAUCUGCAGGAACACCCGUGGCGAAAGCGGCGCGCUGGACCACUACUGACGCUGAGGAACGAAAGCUAGGGGAGCAAACAGG
rnacentral:rRNA from 1 species